GACAGAGGCCUCAAGCGUUAGGCGGAAUCACUGGGCUUAAAGCGUGUGUAGGCGGAUGCCUAAGUACCUUGUGAAAUCCCACGGCUCAACCGUGGAACUGCUGGGUAUACUGGGCGUCUUGGGCCAUUCAGGGGCGACUGGAACAAGCGGUGGAGCGGUGAAAUGCGUAGAUAUCGGAAGGAACACCAGUGGCGAAAGCGGCUUCCUGGUCCAGCACCGACGUUCAGGCACGAAAGCGUGGGGAGCAAACAGG
rnacentral:rRNA from 1 species